UAGUCGAUGGGAAACAGGUUAAUAUUCCUGUACUUGGUGUUACUGCGAAGGGGGGACGGAGAAGGCUAUGUUAGCCGGGCGACGGUUGUCCCGGUUUAAGCAUGUAGGCUGAUUGUCCAGGCAAAUCCGGAUAAUCAAGGCUGAGGUGUGAUGACGAGGCACUACGGUGCUGAAGUAACAAAUGCCCUGCUUCCAGGAAAAGCCUCUAAGCAUCAGGUAACAUCAA
rnacentral:rRNA from 1 species